rnacentral:rRNA from 1 species
GAUGAACGCUGGCGGCGUGCCUAAUACAUGCAAGUCGAGCGAACAGACGAGGAGCUUGCUCCUCUGACGUUAGCGGCGGACGGGUGAGUAACACGUGGAUAACCUACCUAUAAGACUGGGAUAACUUCGGGAAACCGGAGCUAAUACCGGAUAACAUGUUGAACCGCAUGGUUCAACAGUGAAAGACGGUCUUGCUGUCACUUAUAGAUGGAUCCGCGCCGCAUUAGCUAGUUGGUAAGGUAACGGCUUACCAAGGCAACGAUGCGUAGCCGACCUGAGAGAAUGAUAGGCCACACUGGAACUGUAACACGGUCCAGACUACUACGGGAGGCAGCAGUAGGAAAUCUUCCGCAAUGGGCGAAAGCCUGACAAAGCAACGCCGCGUGAGUGAAGAAAAUCUUCGGAUCGUAAAACUCUGUUAUUAGGGAAGAACAAAUGUGUAAGUGACUAUGCACGUCUUGACGGUACCUAAUCAGAAAGGCACGGCUAACUACGUG